rnacentral:rRNA from 1 species
AAGUGCCCUGGAACGGGCCGUCAUAGAGGGUGAGAAUCCCGUCUGGGAUGGGGUGUCCGCGCCCGUGUGAAGCUCCUUCGACGAGUCGAGUUGUUUGGGAAUGCAGCUCUAAAUGGGUGGUAAAUUUCAUCUAAAGCUAAAUACUGGCCGGAGACCGAUAGCGCACAAGUAGAGUGAUCGAAAGAUGAAAAGCACUUUGAAAAGAGAGUUAAACAGCACGUGAAAUUGUUGAAAGGGAAGCGCUUGCGACCAGACUCGCUCGCGGGGUUCAGCCGGCAUUCGUGCCGGUGUACUUCCCCGCGAGCGGGCCAGCGUCGGUUUGGGCGGCCGGUCAAAGGCCCUCGGAAUGUAACGCCCCCCGGGGCGUCUUAUAGCCGAGGGUGCCAUGCGGCCAGCCCGGACCGAGGAACGCGCUUCGGCUCGGACGCUGGCAUAAUGGUCGUAAGCGACCCGUCUUGAAACACGGACCAAGGAGUCUAACAUCUACGCGAGUGUUCGGGUGUCAAACCCGUGCGCGCAGUGAAAGCGAACGGAGGUGGGAACCCCUCGGGGUGCACCAUCGACCGAUCCUGAUGUCUUCGGAUGGAUUUGAGUAAGAGCGUAGCUGUUGGGACCCGAAAGAUGGUGAACUAUGCCUGAAUAGGGCGAAGCCAGAGGAAACUCUGGUGGAGGCUCGCAGCGGUUCUGACGUGCAAAUCGAUCGUCAAAUUUGGGUAUAGGGCGAAAGACU